rnacentral:rRNA from 1 species
CAAAACUUUCAACAACGGAUCUCUUGGUUCUG